UGUGAAUUAGCUCAGUGGUAGAGUGCGUGCUUAGCAGGCACGCGGUCCUGGGCUCAAUCCUCAGUAUCACCA
rnacentral:tRNA from 1 species